GGUCCAAUCGCUGCUCAGUGCCGUCUGAGUAGAGCGCUCUCCUUUUAAAUCCCCCUCUCUGUGGUGAAUCAGCACUCGCAGCACAGCCCUCCGGUGAUACAGCAGGUGGUAGAGGAGUCUACUGAAACAGCCUACAGUAGCAUUUUCCGGCUGUGAGUGGGGCCUUCAUGGAUUCCCCGUACAAUGGCAACACGUCCCUCCAGACCUCCACCUCCAACCUCAACGCCAACUUCUCCCGGCCGACCGAGGCGGAAGAGGAGGGCAAGUACUCCAGCGACGCCAUCUGGCUUUGGGUGGCCGUCAUUGCAACCAUCGGCAACAUAGUAGUGGUAGCAGUGGUUUGCGCCUGUGCCUUCUAAGACCCGUUAGUUACAAGCACACAGCCGAACCUCCCUCUUGCCACCUUUUCCCCCUCCUCUUUAACCUGUCCCCUGUAUUCGUUUUCAUCUGGUAUGUGUCCAUCCGUAAUAUUAAAGCCAAGGGCCUGUUCUGAGGGUCGACGGAGUAUGAUCGCGGAAAUAUAGGGAUUGAUUUAACUGAUGUUCUGUAGGACUAUGAAUGCGUUUGUAAGUCUGGGAAUGAGAGAGAGAGACAAUCCUCUGGAGUUACCAUACCGUAUCUUACCUAAAGCCUAUGUCUCCCACUGUGUUUUUUUGGGGUAUUUUUAUGAUAAACGGGGAAGUGAGCUGAUGUGGGCUGUGCCUUUGUAUAAUGAACAUUUUGUAAAUGAUUUAUGGAAAUGGGCAUUGUAUAAAGCGGCCUCCCUUCUGCUUUCCAAUCGGAGGGAUCACCAGAGGUCAGCCUAAAGGAAGGGAAGUGGAAGUGUAGGGAAGUGGGAAGUGCACAGGGAACGUGUACAGCUGUGAGAUCCCCUCUGCCUAUGAUUCUGAACAGAACACCACCCCAUAUAUCUUUGUCUGGUUGAUGUCAUGUGCCUGUUUGUCUGAAAUGAAUGUGUUGAUACUGCUGUCUUGGUCCAGGUCUCUCUUGAAAAUAUAUAUAUAUUUUUUUUGGGGGGGGAUCUCAAUGAGACCAACCUGGUUAAAUAAGGGUGAUAUAAAUAAACACGGUAUCAGCAGUUCCCGUUGUGGUUGGCCACUGUCUCGGAGACCAGUGGAGAGAUAUGUGACAGAUGGUGGCCGGUAGGAGUGCUGAGGGGACAGCAGAGGGGCCCAGGGCAGACUUGGCAGUACCCCCAGUACUCGGUGUUCUUUCCUGUGACUGCUGCACCACUGCACUACCAUUCACCAUUACUGCUCUGUCCUGUCCUCAUCGGCCUCUGUGAUAGAAAUCUCCCGAAGCACUUUAUAAAAACCCAAUAAACUGGGGAGUUUUCUUCCAUUUUAACUGCAGUGUUCUGGGCUCACCUGUUGCAUCUCUGCAGUGGCUGUAGACCUGUGCCAGUUGAACUAUGCAGUGAUGGCAUCCCACUGGGCACACACUGGUUGAAUAUGGCACGUCAUUUCAAUGAAAUGUUCCCCGUGGGAUAGCUGUGGAUAAUGUUUUAUAAGUGAGACCGAUGUACACAAACACAGUAUCACCCACAAGCCAAAAUGAGGGAAUUAAGUUGUCAGCACACAUCUUAUGUUAUACCACCCCUGCUGACAUUAUCUGCAUUUACGGAGCCACCAAUUACAUCGCACUAAAUCACUGAGCCGCCCACCAUAACCAGACUAUCCCAAAUGACCAGACCGCCGCUACGAAGGCCCCACGCUGUUGAGCUAGCAAUGAAAUGGUUUCGCUCCUGUCAUAAGAAACCCCAUUGCUGUUAACGUUAGUUUUUUGUUGUUGUUGUGCCAGGCAGGCAGAAUCUCACAUUCACCUCAGAUUGUCUCUCAGUAGACUAGUGUGUGUAGGUGGCAGCCUCCCCAGUAGUUCUGUGCUGUGCUGUCUCCCAUGCACCCAGCGGAGUGGGGCCACAGACUUGUCAAGCGGCAGGGCUGUAAUGAGACGUAAAUGCCUUUCUCUCUCUCUCUCUAUCUCUUUCCUAAAGCGAACACUGACCUCUCAGUUGCGCUGCGGUGAUCAGAGCAGAUCUGAUCCCUGCUGCACUCGGCUGCGCUGAACAAGGAUAGUGCUUCAAAGUGCAUUUUUAGUGUGUGACUUCCUCAUUUAAUCAGCACUCGUUGUGAUUGAAAGGGAGAGGAGGAGAAGAGAGGAGUGGCCGCAUGGGAUUGGAUUUGUAACUUCCAUGUCAUCGCUUUGAAUUACAGGACUUUUUUUGAAGUACAAUGGAAAAUAGAUCUUUUUUUUUAUUGAAACCAACGAAGUGGAAUAAAAGGUUUUAAGAUGGAGAGAUUUAGGAUCAAAGGUCAGGCUGAGACAUCACUCAUCACAGCUAAUUGCCCUGAUCUCACUGUACAGUAGAGUUAAUGAAAACAAGAGACAGAUUCAUCAUGGCGUCUCUGAGCGGUCCUUUUCAGGUUCCUUAGAGAGCUUAGUCUGAAGAAACCCGAGGGAACAGUAAUGCAUCGUCUCUUAACCAUAAACAACAACAAACCAAAAAACCGCUACUUUCUCUAUUGCACAGCAUGGGGCGUCAUAAGUAUCUGCUGGCAAUAACUCAAGAUGACGCUAACAAGUUAGUAUUAUACAUCCCCACUAUAUGUAGUUACUUUAAUACCGUAACUAUUCUGAAACAACAUGCAUAUGAACUAGGUGAGGAAUCCCAAGUUAGCUAUAAUAUGAAUUUCUUCUACCCUUGUGUCGGCUGUGUGCUUUGACAUGGGACUGGUUAAGGCUCAGGUGCCCACUGUCUACGGCUCGAAUUAUGUGUCUGAGCUGACUAACACAACACCUCCCCGUCAACUGCUUAUUGACCAUGGACGCCACUUGACCACCAUGGGACGAUGGUCCUCCUCCACACGACGAGACGUCAUCACAGCCUCAAGCCCAGACUCCCAGGAAUUGUCCAUCCUUCCUCUGCCCCCAGGAACACAUAGGCUCAUUAAAAGCAGACUUCCUGUAUCCUCAGUACAGCAGAGACAGUAUGGGUGACUAGGGGCUGUGACUUUUUUUAAAGCACAUACAGGGAACCCAUAAAGACUACAUGGGGGCUAGGAGGGAUAUUUUGGAGGAGGUGGGACUUGAGAGGUGACGGACAUCAUAUUCAUGACUUCAGCAAAUAAUAGCAUAUCUUAUCCAAGGUUACUUAGUAGUUGACUUUCUUUUAGAAUGUGCUGUGACUCAUAACACUCAAAAGAACGUAGAAAGUGAAACCACAGUAGGAAAAGAGCAAGAACCUUCUGGAGUCCUAUACGUCUUGUUUUAGAAAUGGAUACCUGACAGCGAUUCACACAUUCAUUACAAUGAAUGGAGAUGGAUAUACAUCGACUUUGUCGACUCUGAACAGUUGAAUUCUACUUUUCUGUGCAUCCAGUUGCAGGGUUGUACGUUCUGAUUACCUCCCUGUAGGUGUCAGGGUUACCACUAUGAAAUACUGAUUAUCAAAAGGCUAUUGGCCUAAUACAGUCACUGUGUUUGUUAAAUUCAUUCACAAUGUUCAUUCACAAAAGCAUUCUAUAACAAUUACUUCAUACAAAAUACUGCAGAGUCACAUUACUGCAAUGUGUUUUAAAUGAUAU